rnacentral:tRNA from 1 species
GUGGGGUGGCAGAGCGGUUGAAUGCGCCGGUCUUGAAAACCGGUAUACGCUUCGGCGUAUCGCGGGUUCGAAUCCCGCCCCCAC